rnacentral:rRNA from 1 species
CCUACGGGGGGCAGCAGUGAGGAAUAUUGGUCAAUGGGCGGAAGCCUGAACCAGCCAAGUAGCGUGCGGGAUGAAGGCCCUACGGGUCGUAAACCGCUUUUGCACGGGGAUAACACCCUCCACUUGUGGAGGUCUGCAGGUACCGUGCGAAUAAGGGCCGGCUAAUUCCGUGCCAGCAGCCGCGGUAAUACGGAAGGCCCGAGGGUUAUCCGGAUUGGUUGGGCUGAAAGGGAGCGUAGCGGGGCGUUCAAGUCAGCUGUAAAAUCGCGGGGCUAAACCGCGCCCCGCAGUUGAAACUGGACGGCUUGAGUUCACAACAGGGAGGCAGAAUUCGAGGUGUAGCGGUGAAAUGCAUAGAGAUGACGAGGAACCCCGAUGGCGAAGGCGGCCUGCCGGGGUGCGACUGACGCUGAGGCUCGAAGGUGCGGGUAUCAAACAGGAUUAGAUACCCGUGUAGUC